CUAUAAUCCUCUCUCUUCUCUCAUCUUAUCUAUCUGUAUGUGCAGUACUCCUUCGGCAACCUUCCGUUUCUUCUCUCUCACAACUUAAUCGCUCUCUAUGUUUCAGUCGAUUUUUUUCCUCAAUCAUAACAAUAAGUCAAUUGUGAAUCAGUAUAUGGUUUUUCUUCCUCUUAUUCUUCAAAUAGAUCUAUCAAAUUCUUACACCUAUAGUUUUGAGAUUCCUUAAACCGAAUCAGUAUGAAGAAAUCUAAGAUUCUGGAGAGAUUUCUCUAUUUCACGAGAGUUCUGAGAUUCCUUAAACCGAAUCAGUAUGAAGAAAUCUAAGAUUCUGGAGAGGUUUCUCUACUUCACGAGGUUGGUUUGUAUUCAAAAGGGUUUUGAAUGAACGUCUUCAACAACUUCUAAGCGAGAACCACCUGUGAGUGACGAUUCUGUUGCUUGCAUCAGUGGAUGUAAGCAUAUGGCAGAGGUAGUGAAUUGAGAUCUUGGACUAAGUUCAGAGCUAAAGGUUAGAACAUAAGGGUUUGUGGAUAUAAACCAAGAAGGAAGCACAAGAGGAGGGAAUUACUUGCACCUGGUUAAUCUAGUUCCGUGGAAAGUAUUUUGGAAUACCCCAUUAUGACAUUUAAUGUUGUUGACUUUGGAAUUUGGGAAGGUUCAAUAAUAGUAGUGGCCGACGAAACUGGUGAUUUGCUAUACUUGGGAAGGUUUUCUCAUAGUCACAUCUUAUUUUUAGAUUAUCGUUGUGCGUAACUACUUGAUAUAAAUUUCAAAAAAUAUUUUCAUGUCUUUUCUUGUCAAAUUCUUGAUACAGGGGUUGAUCAAUGUUCCCUGUGUGUUAAUAGAGAAAGUUUUGCUUUAAUCUCUAAUAGCCCAACCUAGAAAAUCUGGAACAACUUUGAGUUUUGAUUUUGAUAUCAUCAGUCUAACAGUCUUGGUCAGAUUUAUGUUUAGAAACUGUAGAAUAUUACAGGACUGUUGUUAUGGAUUCCUUCUAUAUAGGUUUCAAUUAAUGAUGACAAACAUUGUAGCUAAGAAGUGGCAUCCGUUAAAUUUGGUGUAUACAUAUUUUCAUCCAUCAAUUCCUAGUCCAGUCACAUGUAAAUAGUAGAUUUUUACUGAAAUCUGUUAGAGAAAUAUUAACACUUCUCAGCUUUGCCCAUUACUGUGCCAAUAACUUGUUAAUGGAACUGCAUCAUGCAGUUCAGAUUACGAAGUUUUCAAAAAUUUUAGGAGGAGAGAUCAACUAUGGCUUACUAGCGUUGUGUGUCUCUUGGGUCUGAUGUGUUAGAGCAUUGUAAUAAGAGAAAACUGACUGUAUAUCUUUGAGGAAGUGUACUGCAGAUAGUGCAAUUAGGUUCUAACUUCUAAGGUCAGGUGGUCUCAACCACUGUUUCUAGGGCAUCAGAGCGGAAUAAGAUAACUAUCGUAGUAUUAUCUGAAACUAUUUUGAUAUUAGUCUUGGUCAAAACUUAAGUUUACAACUAUCGAAAAUUUACUGACACACUGAUAUUGAUUACUGUAAUGUAGUUAUCAAGGUUGUUAGCGUUGACAACAAGUAAUGAUGAUGCAUACUCUAAUCCUCAACUAUAUUAUGACGUGGGCUUGAAAAUGUUGGAUCAGUAACCUAAAUUGUGAUUAACUUAUGGAUUUACGAGGCAGUGUCAGGGGAGGACAAUGGCCCCUGCAUUGUAGUUCAGUUCAAUUUUAAACUCAAUUCAUAGAAUGAAAUUGUGAGAUGAAUUAGCUUGUUGUAGCUCUGGGAUCAGGUUAUGAAAUGAAAAAAUCAUGUCACUGUGGGGGGGAAUUUCCCUUGGGGUUGUAGUUUAGUUUUUAGCCUACUUUCUAGCAUCAACUGUGAAUGUUGACGGUCAAUUAUUCUACUUUUGGAUUUAGCCACUCACGUCUGAAUUUAUGAACAACCAUGCCCUUUUCUAGCGAAGACGCAGUAUUGUAUCAUGUUUUCCUCAAGCCGUUUAUUACUUAACUUGAUUUCUUUUUUCUUUAUGUCAAUUGUCUGAAUUCCAUGUAUUGAACUGAUGCGCUACUUAAUGUUACCUUCUUAAGAGAUCUUUUAAAUGCUCUAUUGUGUUUGUAGGGGAAGAUGUUUCUCCUGGAUUAAGAAAAGGUGGAAUUAAACUUUGAUCAUGUAAAUGGUAAUGGAUGCAGCUAUGAACCUCUCUACGUGUGUCAACUGGCAAGUUUGCUGGAUAAUUAGGGUCUCAAUUGGUGAACUUAGGGAUAGAAUAAUGGACCUGAUUAGAGCUAGUUUUCAGAAGAUGAAGACAUGGAUGGUGAAGUCUCGCCUUCAUGUUUUGAAGACACGAUGUGAGGUCGUCGAUGGACUUUGUUCCGAUAGCAGGAAAGGGAGGUUUUUACCCGGCACAAGAACACUGUUAUCAAGAGCAGCUGACAACAAUUCUUUUGGAGCCACCGACUGACGAAGAAAUGGGCCUCCUUGGUCAAAACCCAUAUGCCGAGCAACCCUGACAAUAUUAUAAGGAACCACCUCAUAAGAUCCCAUGAAGAAAUAUGGCACGUGUCCAGGUGUACAGCUUCGCAUGAAUAUGAUUUCUCUAACGCUCAUAUUCUCUUCAGCAUAAAGCAAAGUAAUAUUUGGGGCAGCAGCGAAAAUGUUCGGCUGAACUAUGGACGCAUGAACCGGAGCCCAAUGACGAAAGUUAACCGCAUACGCAUUGUCGAGGAAGUCGAUGAGCUUCGACCCGGAUUUUGGACGCUUGUUCAACCAGCGGAGUAUCCUGGAACCGCCAUAGGAGUCAGGAAAUGAAGCCAGUGGCUUAGGAGCAUAAUUUUUGAAAUGCUCCCACAACCACGUUUGAAGAAAAGUGAUGUGGACAUACGAGUCUGCUUUCAUAUGAACAUUAGAAACAUACAUGUCCCCAGUCAAGUGAUCUAGAUGGGUGUACAAAGAUCCAAGAAACAAGCCGCCAAUGGGGAGGACAACACCUUUCGCUUAUUUGAUGGACAGUUUAAUGAGCUCCUGUCUUAUCUCCUUCUUGCCAAAGCCAUCAUCAAGAAUAUCUCUGGAUAACCACAGAGCCAAAAAUGCAGCGACAUGGAGUGUACCGUUCAUCUGAUCCGGCUCCGAGUCUUUCGAGAACCAUUCAGACGCCCAACAGCUGCAGAAGCACUUCGUUUCGUAAUCUUUUCGAACAAACCCUGCCGACUUGGCAACGAGAGUGGAACGCAUUUCCUGUUCCUCAUCAGACAAAGUAAUGUCAAGGUUCUCUAUUAUUGGUAGAUUCAACAGGAUGGCUACACUCUCUAAAGAAAUAGUCAUUUCACCCCACCUGCAUAUGGCCGUAUGAGUAUACGGACACCAUCUGGAGAUAAAAGUGACCAAGCCCACGAUGUCCUUCCUGAUUUGAAGUGUUGCAGAAGCCAUGACCGCAUUGAUGAUAUGCGCCCUGGUCAGACUGUCUCUUACGCAGUCUUGACUUAUCAUGAACCGCAUCCAUUUAUCAAAAGAACGCAAUGGACUCUAACAAGCUCUGAAGUCAAUAAGAGAAGCAUGAUACUCAUUUUUCUGAAGACAAAAUUGUAUCACGCGCCCUGGCCGAACUGAUGGGGCGUCUCCUUCAUUUUCUGAACCGCUCAGAAGGAUAGCCACAUAUUUUGGAUGGUUUCUCUUAACCGUGGCAGACUGUGUAAAGUAUUCGUCAUCCGUGUUGGGCUUGGAGUUGCUAACGUUUUUCGACAUAGCGGCAGGACUAUUCGCGGGUGACAUCCUAACAAAAUUUUCUUAUACUGCUUUCACUUUCAAAAUAACUACAACGGAGCAAAACGAAGAAAAGUUACUGCCAAAAAAAAGAGGUGCAUGAACACUACUUUAUCACCGGCGGAGGAUCUAUUUUGGUCACAAGCCAAUUUAUUUUGGUCGCAAGUCAUAACACACAUAGCCAAAAGAGUGGGGAAUGAUACUCGCUUCAACGAGCCAUGUUUUGCCGCGGGAAACGUGCCUCUAGCCAAUACCGUGUCUUGCAGCAUGAAGUAUGCUCUCGACCAAAGGGAGAGUGUGUCCCACCACGAAAAUUGUGCACACGGCCACAAAGGGAAAAGAAAACCCUAAAGCUAGGUUUUCAUGGGAGAAGAACUAACGGCGGCCACCUAUCCGUGCACACCUACUUUGCAUAAUAAUGGGCUUCCUUACUAUCAAUGUGACGGCUAAUAUUACAACUAUACUGCUAGCAGAGAAGAAUCAUUCAUACAAGAGUAUUUCUACGGGUUUAUGGAGGAUAUGCCUAUGGGUAGGGUUUACACCAACACAAAAGAACGAGCUAAAGAAGAAACGCUAGAAUACAUACUUGGAAUAUGCUCGCCUGCUUUAUUUCUACCGCUCUUCCACUAGCACCAAGACGUAGAAAUAAAACCAAUAAUACGAGGUAAAGAGGAGGGGUGACGCCUUUUAUAGGCAUGACACCUUUUGGAGUUCGAAUAGGGGAAGGUUUCUUAUUUUUGGGCCAUGCGUGGAAAGAGGCAACCAGACCCACGCCCGGCCAAGCCAAACCAACAACUUUGCAUCCCAAGCCGAGCCAACAGUUCCACGUCCCAAGCGUGCCAAGACAGCGCCACGUCCAAGCCAAGAUAGUGCACGACCAAGCCAAGCGCCAACGCCUCCAUGCCAAGCCAGCAGCGCCACGGACAAACCAAGCUAACGACGCCAUCUUAGCCGUUCAAAGCAGCGCCAUCUUCACGAAGCCAACGACGCCAUCUUAGCCGUUCAAAGCAGCGCCAUCUCCACCAACCCAAAGCCGGCGCCAACAGUCUGCGUCCCAAGCCAAUGCCAUCAGCCCGCGUCCCAACCAUCGAUCCGCUCCAUGACCAAUGCCAUCAUCCCGCUCCAUGGACAGCGCUAGCAGUCCACUACCUAGCCAGCAGUCCGCGUCCUAGCCAGCAGUCCGCGUCCUAGUCAGUAGUCCGCUCCAUAGCCAGCGCCAUCUACCUUUCUAAACCAGCCAGUGCCCAUUCCGUGGACCAGGUUGCAGUGCCACUUCUGCCGAUCAGCAAUCCAAAUCUGCAACGCUGAUGCCAACACCCCAUGGCCUAACUGAAUUUAUGCAAAGCCACCAAUCCAAGGGUCACAAAUUCCUCAGGCCUCCCGACAAAGGUUAGCCAAAUCUUCCUGACAAUCUCUUCAUGACUUGCCGUUUCGAUUUUAUCCUUGUCCGUCACCAUCUUAUGCUUACCCCGCAAUAAUGUCAU